rnacentral:rRNA from 1 species
CCUACGGGAGGUAGCAGUGGGGAAUAUUGGGCAAUGGACGCAAGUCUGACCCAGCAACGCCGCGUGAAGGAAGAAGGCUUUCGGGUUGUAAACUUCUUUUAAGGGGGAAGAGCAGAAGACGGUACCCCUUGAAUAAGCCAUGGCUAACUACGUGCCAGCAGCCGCGGUCAUACGUAGGUGGCAAGCGUUGUCCGGAUUUACUGGGUGUAAAGGGCGUGCAGCCGGAGAGACAAGUCAGAUGUGAAAUCUACGGGCUCAACCCGUGAACUGCAUUUGAAACUGUUUCCCUUGAGUGUCGGAGAGGUAAUCGGAAUUCCUUGUGUAGCGGUGAAAUGCGUAGAUAUAAGGAAGAACACCAGUGGCGAAGGCGGAUUACUGGACGAUAACUGACGGUGAGGCGCGAAAGCGUGGGGAGCAAACAGGAUUAGAUACCCUUGUAGUC